rnacentral:lncRNA from 1 species
NNNNNNNNNNNNNNNNNNNNNNNNNNNNNNNNNNCUCCUCCCCUGCUCUCUCUCUCACUCUCUCUCCCUGAAAUAAAUAAAAUCUUUUUAAAAUAUACAAAACCUAUUCUUUUAUUUUACUGAAUAUGAAUGUCCUACUUAUUCCUGCUUAUUCCCCAGUCAGUGAACACAGGAGGGAGACAGGCACUGUGAAGACAGACAACUUAUCUAAACUUAAAAACACCCACUACUUAGAAUGAAUAUGGACAUAGAGGUACAUACCUAUGUGAAUAUUCCAUUAAGAAAAUCUGGAAACAGAAGAAAUUUAGGACUGGGAAGAAGAGGAACAGGACCAAGAAAGAAACAGGAGGAAAGAGGACACCUUAUUUUCCAUUUUUACCUGUAUGUAGUACUAUUCAAUAUUUGCUGCAAAUGUAUUACUUUUCAUUUUUCAAAGAACACAGUGAGAUUGGUUUUUUUUUUUUUUUAAUCGGAGCAGAGCUGUUCAGAAGGCAGGAGCGAUGCCACAGUUCAUUUCUCUUCUCUGUGGCACAGAAACACAAAGCAUAUAGAUGCUCAGUGUAAUGCCACACAGUUCCCGCUUUUGGAGCAUGCUCUCAGCAAGAGGCUGCUGGUGGCACAAAGAGCAUGCGCCAUUAAACUUGAUCCAUUUUCUUAUCAAACGUCCAACAUUCCAACACUGAAACAGCACCAUUCCAAGAGUGGUAACUAGAGAAACCGGUAUACAGUGAGGGAAAGUGGGCAAAGGACACAGCUUGCCGUAUCAGUGUCCUGAACAGAAGGUUUCCAUACUUUGAGCCGUGCAUUCUCUUCCCCCCUCACCAACACCAGCCUCCAAGGCACACACGCACACACACACACACACACACACACACUCACACUCUCCUAUUCUCUCACAGACACACCGACACACUCUUUUCAUUUUUCAAUAGAAGUUUCCAAAGUUGAAAACAAAAAUUAUGUGAAGGUUCUUCAGGCAGCUUUCCUAGAGAAUCUGAAGCCCCACGGAGUCCGUUAAUUUGUUAACCGAUCACAUGAGUACGGCAAUUAUUCUAAACCCCUUAAAAAUCAAUCUGAGGUGAACAAUGAGAAAUGGCAACUUGGCACCAACUUUAUAUGCUUUGUGUCUCUGCGUGCGGUGGCAGGGGGACACCAGGAGUGCACCACUGGUCACUUACUGCUUUUGUGGAAUCAAUACAAUUCAUUUGCUACGUGUGUGAAUUCUUCGGCCAGAGUGUGGGUGCACGUAUGCACGGCUUGUGAGUCUGCACGUGCAUCAACUCUACAGUAUCCCAUCUUUUGAAUGAAGUGGUUUACCUUAGGCUCCUGCAUUUUCCCAGCCUGUUCCAUCUAAGCCUUUUUUUAAGGGCGGGGGGCAGUGUGGAACGGCAGAUUAUCUUCACCUACGGAUAUUCCAAGUUACUUCCCAAAGCAGUUCGUGUUUCAUUACUUCCUGCCAUAGGUAAAUCCUGUCUCAUAAGCUGAGGCCCUAUUACUGCUCAGAGAAAGAGCUAACAUCCUGGGCAGGCAUACUGUACAGGAGCAAUAAACCAAGAUCCGAAGCAAAUAAGAACUUCCCACUGCACCCACUUUUCUGAACGCCCUGACUAUACUGUCACCCCAACCAGGAAAAUAACUUUCACUAACUUAUCGGAUCCCAACUUGGAAUUGACACACUAGGGCUGGUCACCCUGAAUUACGAGAAAUAAAUUCUAUCUAACCAGCAGUCUGAUGAAUGCCAUGAGGGUAAAGAUGAAGAAAGUGCAACUAAUGACACUGGAACAAAGAAGGGGGCCAAAGAAAAUCCCCAAUGGGUUUGAAUCCAUUUUUAAGAUGAAAUUCGAGUUUUCGGUGCUAAAGACUGCAGCAUGUUCACGGUAUGUGCAUCACACCCGGAAAAGGUGCACGUCCCAUCCAAUCAAUAAUGCAGUUAUCCAGUGUUUUAACAUAUUGCUGUAAAAACGUUCCUCCGGCAGAAUGAGUAUAAAUCAAAAUUUCAUAACAAUACAGAAUGCAGAUGAUUACAUCACAGCAUGAGGCAUAACCAAAUGCCAUAGAGGAAAUCAUUAAACCGAUCAGUAGUUUCCAGCAGAGAUUUGAACAAUUCGGUUACUAUGUGAGCACAUUAAACUAGGCCAUGGAAAGAGUUAAACCACAAUCUGUUCUUUGUGUGGGAAGGCAGCCCUGCUCACAGCAACCACAGCCCCAUGAUAAGACCUCCCUAUCUCCAUAUACUUUCUGAUGCCAUGCUUUCAGCUUUCACUGUAACUACAAAAACUUUGUUUAUCCCCCUUAGAAAUAAUGCAAAGAAAGCCCUGUUGAAGGAAGUGUGGACCUAAACAUGCUUUGGGAACUCACUUCCUAUAAUCUGACUUUUACUACCAUUUAUUGAUACGAUUAAAAAACAUACAUACAUACUCAUCAGCUAAGGGGUUGAGAAUGUAAAGAAUACAUGGGGAUGGGAGGGGGUAGUUUUACCGUUGCCAUGCUUUUUAAAAUGCUGUAUUACUGCAACAGAUAUUAAGUGGUGCGGUAACUCUUAAGUGCUUACAUCCUUAAGUACUAUGUU